CACCACCACCACCACCACCACCACCACCACCAGGGAACCAGACAGAACAGGCUGAAUGGGAGACUUGUAGCAAAGUCGAGAGGAGAGAAAGAUUGCUGUGAUGGAUCAAGGAUACAUUCGUCCAUCACAGGAGCUAAAAAGAUAAGAUGUUGCAUGGGACAAUCCUAAUUCCGUUAGGCUGAAUGGGAGACUUGCAGCAAAGUCGAGAGGAGAGAAAGAUUGCUGUGAUGGAUCAAGGAUACAUUCGUCCAUCACAGGAGCUAAAAAGAUAAGAUGUUGCAUGGGACAAUCCUAAUUCCAUUAGGCCUCUUUUGUGAAGCUGAUUUCUUGUAAGUGAUGGUUCAUGACAAUGUCAACACCGGUGACUACUGUGCUUUUGGUACCUUCACCCUCUGGACCUUCAGCGGAAGCAUUUCCACCAAUGAGCGAGUCAUCGAUGGCACCCUCUGUUUUACUGGCCAUCUUGCCCUCUACCUCUAGCCCAUCCGUGAUCUCCCAGACGGAUGUAGAUGUCGGAGAACAGCUUCCUGACCAAUGAAGAUGUUGGAGAACAGCUCGUCAUGGCAGAGGAGGUCCCGGUAGAUAAUCAUGGUGAGCAGCGCUAGCCUGAGUGAGCAGCUGGAGCAGCGCUUGGAGGAGGGUGGUGGAGGAGGGUGGGGAGAGGGGUGAGGGUGGAAAAGGCAGACUCGGGUGCUCCCCGACCUCAUAUAGAGGGCGAUCCUUGUAACCUUUCACCUAGCAAUUCCUCCAGGGAAUUUAUCUUGGGGAAAUAAUGCAAAAGAAGAAUAUCAGCUAUGGGAGCAACAACAAAACUAUUUACGAGGCAUUACUUAUUAUAAUAAAAAUUCUAAAACAACCUAA